GCCAGCAAGAUAGCUCAGUUGAUAAGAGUGUGAACUCUUAAUCUCAGGGUUGUGGGUUCGAGCCCCACGUUGGGCA